UACGUAGGGUGCAAGCGUUGUCCGGAAUUAUUGGGCGUAAAGAGCUCGUAGGCGGUCUGUCGCGUCUGCUGUGAAAACUCGGGGCUUAACCCCGGGCCUGCAGUGGGUACGGGCAGACUAGAGUGCGGUAGGGGAGACUGGAAUUCCUGGUGUAGCGGUGAAAUGCGCAGAUAUCAGGAGGAACACCGGUGGCGAAGGCGGGUCUCUGGGCCGUAACUGACGCUGAGGAGCGAAAGCGUGGGGAGCAAACGGG
rnacentral:rRNA from 1 species